rnacentral:rRNA from 1 species
UACGGAGGGUGCAAGCGUUAAUCGGAAUUACUGGGCGUAAAGCGCACGCAGGCGGUCUGUCAAGUCGUAUGUGAAAUCCCCGGGCUCAACCUGGGAACUGCAUUCGAAACUGGCAGGCUAGAGUCUUGUAGAGGGGGGUAGAAUUCCAGGUGUAGCGGUGAAAUGCGUAGAGAUCUGGAGGAAUACCGGUGGCGAAGGCGGCCCCCUGGACAAAGACUGACGCUCAGGUGCGAAAGCGUGGGGAGCAAACAGG